UACGUAGGGUGCUAGCGUUAUCCGGAUUUACUGGGCGUAAAGGGUGCGUAGGUGGAAAUGCAAGUCAGAUGUAAAAGGCAGUAGCUUAACUACUGUAAGCAUUUGAAACUGCAUAUCUUGGGAAGAGUAGAGGUAAGUGGAAUUUUUAGUGUAGCGGUGAAAUGCGUAGAUAUUAAAAAGAAUACCGGUGGCGAAGGCGACUUACUGGGCUCAUUCUGACGCUGAGGAACGAAAGCGUGGGUAGCAAACAGG
rnacentral:rRNA from 1 species